UACGUAGGGUGCAAGCGUUGCCCGGAUUUAUUGGGCGUAAAGGGCGCGUAGGCGGCUCUGCACGUUCGUUGUGAAAUCGCCCGGCUCAACUGGGCGGGGUCAGCGGAUACGGCAGAGCUUGAGCAAGCUAGGGGGCAAUGGAAUUCCCGGUGUAGUGGUGGAAUGCGUAGAUAUCGGGAGGAACAUCAGUUGCGAAGGCGGCUCUCUGGACCAGCACUGACACUGAGGCACGAAAGCGUGGGGAGCAAACAGG
rnacentral:rRNA from 1 species